CUGCCCUUGAGUCCNGGAUNCCCNGGAAACUGAGACUAUACCGGAUAGAUCAAGGAUACUGGAAUGUUCCCUAGUCUAAACUCCGGUGCCCAAGGAUGGGUCUGCGCCUAUCAGGUAGUAGUGGUGUAACGUACCUACUAGCCUACGACGGGAAAAGGGUUGUGAGAGCAAGAGCCCUGAGAUGGAUUCUGAGACAUGAAAUCCAGCCCUACGGGGUGCAGCAGGCGCGAAAACUUUACAAUGCGGGAAACCGCGAUAAGGGGACCCCGAGUGCCAGUACCUAGUACUGGCUGUCCCGCUGUCUAAAUAACAGUGGUUAGCAAGGGCCGGGCAAGACCGGUGCCAGCCGCCGCGGUAACACCGGCGGCCCGAGUGGUAGCCGUUAUUAUUGGGUUUAAAGGGUCCGUGGCCGGCUUAUUAAGUCUCUUGGGAAAUCUGGCGACUUAAUCGUCAGGCGUCCAAGAGAUACUGAUAGGCUUGGGACCGGGAGAGGUGGGAGGUACUCCAGGGGUAGGGGUGAAACCUCGUAAUCCUUGGGGGACCACCGAUGGCGAAGGCAUCCCACCAGAACGGGUCCGACGGUGAGGGACGAAAGCUGGGGGCACGAACCGGAUUAGAUACCCGGGUAGUCCCAGCUGUAAACGAUGCUCGCUAGGUGUCAGAUGCGGUGCGACCGCAUCUGGUGCCGCAGUGAAAACUUGAAGCGAGUCACCUGGGAAGUACGGUCGCAAGGCUGAAACUUAAAGGAAUUGGCGGGGGAGCACUACAACGGGUGGAGCCUGCGGUUCAAUUGGAUUCAACGCCGG
rnacentral:rRNA from 1 species